rnacentral:tRNA from 1 species
GCGCCCGUAGCUCAGUUGGAUAGAGCGUUGGCCUCCGGAGCCAAAGGUCGUGAGUUCGAACCUCGCCGGGCGCA